AUGGCGGAGAGGGCGCUCCCGCCGCCCGUGCCCGAGCAGGCCUCCGCCGCCCUCGCCCAGCUCAGGGCCCCGCCGCACGAGACGUACGUCGUCAAGGUCCAGAAGGACCAGAUAUACCGCGUGCCGCCUCCCGAGAACGCCUACCUCGCCGAGCGGUACCGCGCGGAGCGCGCCGGCGGCGGCAAGAGCGGCGGCGGCUCCGCGUGCUCCACGCCCCUCCUGCUCACGCUCGCCCUGGCGGCCGCCGCGGUGCUGCUCCUGGGCGCCAGCGUCUGGCUCUCCGUCGUGGUGAUGCGGCCGGCCCCGCCGAGCUUCUCCGUGAACAGGCUCUCCGUGCGCAACGCGUCGGCGCAGCGCCACGCGGAGGUGGACUACGACUUCUUCCUCACGGCGGUCAACCCCAACAAGGUGACCGCGCUGUGGUACAAGGACGGGGGCGCGGCCAGGCUGCUGCACCGGGGCACGGCCCUGGCCAAGGCCGCGGACGUGGGCACGCCAGAGGACGGCGGCGUGGACGCCAAGGACUUCAGCGUGCUGCUGCGCGGCGGCGGCGGCCACGCGACACCCAAGGCGGUGGAGAAGGCGCUCGGGGGGUCCAAGAAGGAGGCCGUGGCGCUGGAGCUCGCCGUGGAGUUCCCCGUGCAGGUGCACGUGGGCGCGCUCGCGUUCGCGGCCAAGAGGCUGGCCGUGGCGUGCGAGAUGAGAACGGCGGGGCUAGGGAAGCACGUGCACAUUUCGUCGCAGAAGUGCAGGAGCAGCUUCGGGAAGUGA
rnacentral:rRNA from 1 species